AGCGCCCCGCCGCCGCGGAACGCACGCUGGAAUGCAUUGGGGCGAGCGGCGCCGAGUGGAGAGAGACGGAGCGGCGUGAGGGACAAAACACCUCAGCGAGAGAGCGCUUCCUCACAGCCGAGAGUCCCGCGGAGACCACAACUCCCAGCAUUCUCCUCUAGGCCGCCUCCUGAGCGGAAAGACUUCUUCGCUAGCACAUCAAUCACUACUUCUGCUAUUUAAGGCAGGUCACUUUCCUGACUGAGGAGAGAAAUACCUCCUGAGGGCCAACAGCGUAAUGAGAAAGGAGCAGUGUGGGUAUUUAUUUGCUUCUAGUUAGAUAACAAUUGAUAAAGAGUAGCCACAGGCUAUUACAACUUCAAACAAAACCGGCUCACACAGCUCAGGCUCCCAGCAAGCUGCUUUACCGUGGCUCGGAUAAAUCUGUCUAAAGAUGUCCUGCUUUUACUUCAGUCCAUUCAUCUCAGAUACUCUGUUUAGCUAUUCUGUGAUUGGAACAUGGGGGGCUGUUUCUUUCCUCCCAGGUUCAACACUGUGGCUGAAGACUUGUGACACUUCACUGAUGCAAGGGUUGUGUUCAGCCUCUUUGUGCAGCUGAAUGCAGCGGCCACAUCCUGGAGAGGCUAAGCAUCUCACGGCCAAAGCUUGUUACUGGAGGGACUGUGCAUAUGUCUCAAUUUUCCACUAAGGACCUUCAUCCCAGUCUGCCAGAGGUGGAAACAUCACCAACAUCAUCUUCUUCCUAUUUGCACAAGUGCUGUUUUCUGGCCAUCUGUAUGCUAUCAGAAAAAAAACAUAAGCUCAUUUUCUAGAGCAUCUGGAUCUCUUCUGCUCUCCGGCUUUGGUAACUAAAGGAAGGGAUAAAAGCACUUGCAAUCUCUUCUAGACAGGGUGUUUGAAUCCACCCUCACGCUACUCCUCUACUAAAGGAUAUCAGUACUAUGAAAAUUAGUUUACAAAACAGCCUCUGCAGCAGCAAAGUAAUGCAACAGCAAGCAGCGACUAGACCAUUCAAUACUUCAGACUAUACAGAUGGGCAAGUCUUCCUAGGCACUGCUGCUAGGAUUCAUGUUAGCAUGACAUGGAGCUAGUGUAGGGAAUACAACUAUUUCUAAAGUGCUAUCUUUCUCUGAACAGCAGCAGCAAACUAGUUUAUGUUUUCUCAUCACAGUGAUAAAAUAGGAUGAGCGUAUCUGUACACGGUAAAGAAAUUUACCACACAUUUUUUUCUAGGAUAAUCAACCACUAUGAUAAAUCUGCAGAAAGUCAGGCUGUCUGUUGUGUUUAUUCUUUUACAUACUUGAUAGCUCCUGCUAGGACAUUUUUGUUGGUGAAACAGAGCAGUAUCUCUCUCAGAUAGAGUAACUGUGGAAAGGAUUAACAAGACUUCUGUGAAUGUAUGAGAAAAAAAGUUUGCACGAGCAAUUUAACGUGGUUGCUGAGUUGCAAAAAAAAACAGUAAGAUUUUAGAUAAAGUAUUGAGGUAGUUUUAAAAAGCUUUUUUCCCUCCUUUGAGCAGCUCUUCCAAGAGAUACUGUAGAGCCAGAAAGGCCCAGUGAAUCAAGAAGCUUCAGAAACAAGCUCCUUCUCUUGCAACUACUAAAUCCUGAAGUAGCCUGCACAUUGUUCAUCCUCUUGAGAGAAAAGUUUUUAAACAAAAAGCACUCAAGGUCCACUGUUAUUUCACAAAUGUUUAAUGUUUGUUUUUAAAAUAGUACUGUUUAAACAAGAGAUAAAAGUACCUACACAUACACUGUCUCCUUGGACGCUGGCGAAAGAACUUAAAUUACAGACAGACCCAUGAACACCACGUUCAACAUUUAAGAAUACAGAAAAUCCUAACACUGAUUAACCAUUUUAAUAAUGAAAAGGAUGUGCUCUCAUACCAAAAGAAAGAGAUACUAUUCCAGGCAUGCAAAUGUGCACCCACCUUCUCAGAAGAGGAUUCCAAAAGCCCAGCAGCUCCAGAUAACAUUUUCAUAGCUCCUGUGGAAAUUAACCAAAAGCCAAAAAAGGGAAUAAUGGGCUUGUUAUAGCAAAUUCAGUGUUCAUCCUAAAAUCCCUCUUUCUGACCAUCUGGUGAGUUCAGCUGUUACAUUCCCAAGUCUGACGCCUUUCUGAUUCUUUUCCCAUCUGUAUCAAAAUUGUUCAAACCCCAAAGCAUUUAAAAUAGUCUGGAAGAAGCUUAAAACAGAAUGAAAACAGCUAUGGUUGAACAUAUAGUGAAUGCAGGUAUCCCGCCAGGAUUUGUAAGGCCUAGGAUACUGGAAGUUAUGUAUUUGAUGCUUUGGUCUUGCAUGCUCACCUUAUAAAGUACAGUGUUUAACCUUAUAUCUUUCUUGAGUUCUGAAACACAAAUUUAACCCUCAGAGGAAUAAAACAGGCAUGUUAGUAUCUUUGAUUAUCUCCCUUCUAUAGACACUACAGCCAGCCUCAAGUAGGCUGUCCACACCUGUCUUCUACCAAAUGCCAAAUACAUUGAAUGUGCAUUAUAUAAAGUACCAUAGCAAAUGUAGGUAUGGAAUUUCCUCCCAGCAGCCAAAUUGAAUCCACUGCAUUAAUUUAUUGCACGGAAUGCAUGAAAAACAAGGAUGUACUAUUUUGUAAUCUUAUCUUGGAUGUUUUGGCUAGAGGUACAAUCAAUAUAUACUGGUUUUAGACCUCUCUUAUAUACCUGGUGAAGUAAUAUAAUCUUUGAAACUAACUGCCAGAGGACAUGAACUGUAAAAAGUCCUUGGAAAACACCAUAUUAAAUAGUUUUAAUUGCAUUAAGCCUUCAGUUCUUAUGAGAAAAAGCAGUCACCAACAAUCCUUUGCUACUGGACUUUGUUGUCCUGUCCUUUUGCAAACCAGGUACUUCUAGAUACCUAUCUUUCAGGUACAUAGAUAUUGAGUCCUCUCAUCAGAUCAUCUGGCAUUUUUCUUUUAUUUCUGGUUUUCAUAUCUGACAGGAGAUGAAUAGCCCAGUGCGUUUCCUGAUGUGAGGAUCAUGCCUACUGUUUCUUUAUCGGCCAGCUGCCACCAGGCUUUUGCAUUUUUAACUAGUCUUCACAGCUACUGCUACUGCUGAAGUGUAUGUACUUUGCUCUCUCUAAGCUGAAUAUUCUGCAGUCAGCCUAUUGGUAAAAGAGAUGAAGUAGCUCUGAUGCAGCUUUUAUUUGCUGUAGCUACUUGACCAUCCUCCAACAUCUAGUCCAACAGUUUUGAUGGCUCAGCUCUCUGAAUCCCCAGUUGUUAUAGGAGCAUUCUGGGAACGAUUACAGCAACUUUACUAGAAUUGCUAACUUAAAAGUAUUCAGCCUUCUCACUCCAGGAAGAGCCUAAGAAGAGGUGGUGGAAGGAUCACAAACCAAAACCCAAGAAUUAACACUACAUGCAGAGUCUUAGUUUUCUGCUCUAAGACAAAGUAGCAGUCUGCAGCUGCUUUAUUUUGCUCAGGUUGGUUACAGCCAAGAAUACAUCCAUACUGGUUAACAGAAAAGGUGGCCUAACAACUAUAAACUUGCAUCUCUGUUCAAGUUGUUCGGUAUUCCCAUCACAGUCACACACCCUCCUUGUGCUUACUCUGCGUAGGGGGCAGGAAUGAAUUCUUUCCCAGACAAUGAUUUUUCUCCCUUCACCUUCCUGUAACAUUCUGAAAGAGUAAUAAGCCAACGCAACACUAUAUUAAGUGCCCCAGAAAAACCUAUCUCAAGUGGUAUCUCUUGCAUUUUUUCAGGGGAAAAAAAGUCUGUGUUCUGCAACAUGCUAAGCAGACAUUCUUGAUCAUGUAAUUCUAGUCUCAGAAGAAAUAAGUUUUCAACUCUAAACCUAUCACUACACUAAAGAAGUAUAGUUUUAGCAUUGGGAUGUACUGGCUUGGUGGACAGUUGUCUCUUUAAAGAAACAAACCAGCCUACUUCUGCCAUCAUUACUUUCCUUUGACAUUUUGGAAAAAAACCAAACACUUGGGAUUUACCAGUCUAAGAAAAUAAUUAAGAAAGUAGGCAAAUACAAAUUAUCUGCGUUAAUGGGGAAAAAUUAAGAUCUUUGUGCAGCUUCCCUUAGAUAAGAAUUUAUUUCCACUCUUACCAAGACUUAAGAAGUGGCAGUGACCCCACAUCUUAAUCUGCUACUUGUAAUUUCUACCAGUAAGACAGACAUGUAUUUGAAAACACUAGUAACAGAACACUGGUUGAUACAUCACUUUCCCACUAACAUGGCCACUUAAAACAAACACACAACCCUCCCAAAGGCCCAUAUGCUGCUUAGUAAAAUCUCAAAGAAAUAAUUCCAGCAAGCUGGAAGCAAGAUUUACCUGCUCCAGGGACUACCAGAAUAAUAAUAAUAAUAAAAUUGCAGUAUUUUGUCUCAACCAUGACUUUCGCUUUUAAAGUUUUCAGCAAAAUUUAAGUAUUUGAAGGCCGUUUCUACUUUCCAAAUAGAGCCACAGGUGUUAAAAGAAACCUGCAAAAAUAACUAAGGAAAACAGGGCUUACAAUACAUAGAAUGCCAGCAGCUUUUCCACGGCUCUUCUACUGCCUCUUAAUAAAAAGCUGUUCUGCCACAGACUUUACCAAAGAGAACUUUCUUUCUGCCAGCCUCCAACAUGGCAAACUAAAAGUUGCAGUACAAAAUAAAUGCCUGGAGUUAAUUCAUCAUCCCUGUAAUUGAUUAUGUAUUUGUGACGGCUUUGAAGAUGUGUAAAAACAGAAAAAUUCGAGUACACUUAUUUAUUCCCUAUCAGCAGCUUUCUAAAAAUCAAGAGAAAGGCACUUAUUCCUUAUGCAGCUUGUAAAGAACUAGGCCAGGAAGGAGAGAUCAUGUCAUAUUGCACUAUUCAAACACACAAGUAAAUUCCCCUCCAUUAACUCACCCCUCCUCCCGAGGAUCUGGAGUCAAGCAUCCAAGGCCAGCCUAGAACUUAAGGCUUCCCAGUCAGUGCACUAUGCUACAGCUCUGCCAGCACAGGGGAUCAGUAGGGUAGAUAAAUCAUUUACUGCGUGCCUCUGAAAACCACAGCAAAAAUAAAUAAAUAGAUAGAUAAACAAAAAAUAUAUAUACAUGCCAUUUCACAAAACUGUAAAACAACAAAUGCCUCCACCAAUAUGCCUACAUGUCAGUCUAGCACCAUUCAUUUUGUUCCUACACAUUCCAACAGUUCCAGGAGUAUCUUUUACUCCUACCUUAAAAACAAAACAAAACACAAAUAAGUUUUACUUUCAACGUGGAAUAGUAUCCGAGUCCACUCAGGCACAGAAGAACAACUAUUUGACCAAAGGGCAUGAAAAGAAGUAUUAUUUAACUUGUAUCAAACUAAACUUAGCUUCUGGAAAGCUGAAGACAAAUGCAAGGGCUGUGCGCUGACCACCAACGCUAGCUGCAGAAGCAACUGAUAAAAAGGAUAUUGGAUUUAUGUUGAUGUCCUUUCCACCAAAAUAAAGUUAAUCAAGAGCACUUCCCACACAGGUAAGACAGCAUUGAAUGAGGAUGUCUGAAGAAGAUUGUCCAAAUGAGCUUCUCUACCGUUGCAUAUACUGAGACCUUCAUGAAAAUGAAUCUGAGAAAUGAAACUAGCCAGAUGGUCUGUAUUCCAAAACAACAUCAUUUAAAUGCAGAUCUGUGGGAAAAGAAAACAAAAAAACAACCAGCCUUCCCUUCCUAUCUCCCUUCCCUGCACUGACACCCUUCAAUACAAGGCAGGCAAGCUUAGGUCCCCCCCUCUUCCACGUUAGAUUUACAAGGAACCAGGCACUUCACUGAAGAAACUGAUAAGAACACAGAGGUAGAAUAUUCAGCCGUCAACUGUGAACAAACAAGCUCAGAUAUAUAAUCAGACAUUUAUAGAAAACAGAGAAACAGCUACAAAGAACUUUAAAAAAGAAUAAAAAUAGAGUUUUAACAAUCUCUACCCAUUACCCAACUUCCACUUCAAAAUUAUCAAAAGCAUAUCAAACCUUGUUUUCUUUGUUUUUGACAGGAAAUAGUUAUUCGAAGAAAGUAGGGCAAUGAUACUAAAAAAUUCUCCUUACAUUCAGUGCAGGAACUGCUUAAAAUUGUGAAAAGCAGUCAAAAAGGCUCUCAAAACCUUCUUCUUUUCUUAAUUACGUUUUUGGGUGGGGUUUAUUUGACUACAUACCCUAGCUUUACAAAUUCAGAUUACACUCUUGUAUAUUCUUAUAUUUUUAAUAUAAAAAGGACAAUAACAAGUCUGAAAAAUGUUUAAUAUCAUCUUUACACAGUCAUGGAAACAGAAGAAAAAAUGUCAUUUUUCCCCCUCUGAAAGUCCACAUGCCAGUUAGUGAUUACAGAAAUAUGAAUGAACGCUGCUUGUUUCCCUCCCUCCUUUACAAAAGGCUUAGGAUUUCAAACAAAAAUCCAGUGAUGAUAUUGACAGAAGUUCUUCCACUGACUUCAGCUGGGAAUAAAUCAGGUUUUUACUGAGCAGGCUAGCUGUUGAAUAUCUUCAUUGUCUACAGCUUCUCAAUUUUAUGAACUACCACAGGAGGUAGAAUGUACUUGAAAUAAAGCACUUUCCUAGAGCUAAAAAAAAGAAAGAAAGAAAGGAAGAAAGAAAGUCUUGUUGAGCACAGCAUGUUUAUUUUUUAAACAAUUUACAAAUAAAAAUGUUCAAUUUAUCCAAGCAAACACAUGUAAUACUUUAGUCUUUGACGAGCUAUACAAAUGAAAACCAUCACUCUAGAGCUUUUGCUAGCUUUAGGAUCAUUCAGGGUAGGCAUGCAUGUGUCUCUAUCACAUGAAGCGAGUCCAAUUCCUGACACCAGGGUUCUGAUCUUCUACUUCUUCAGAGCUGGUCAGCUGCUAAAUGAUUUAACACAAAUAGUUACUGGAUCACAAUACAAUGAAAGAAAGCCCAUUUCAAAACAUGUAAGUGACCUCAAUAUGUCUGAUCCAGGUGUCAGGCCACAGAGCCUUACCGAUUAGUCUUCUUCUCCAAAAGCCAGUCGGACAGAUUUUCUCCCCUCCAUUAGUGAUGUGGCAUCCAUAAACGUGCUUAUACAAUACAAUGAAACAGCUUAAGUACAGAUGUAAUACAGCAGUGAUUACAAAUCACAAAGA